AGUGGAAUUGCUGGAUAAUAUUGUAACUCUAAAGUUUAACUUUUUGAAGAACUAUCAAACUAUUUUCCAAAGUGGCUGCACUAAUUUAUAUUCCCACUAGCAGU
rnacentral:pre_miRNA from 1 species